UCGCCAAACCGCCUAUCGCAUACCCGAAGCAGUUAAAGAAAAUAUGCGGAAAGAAAUUGAGGAAAUGAUGUAGUUAGGGGUGAUAGAACACUCUGACAGCCCCUGGGCCUCCCCGGUAGUACUAGUACCGAAACAGGGCGGCACUACCGGAGGCUAAAUGAUAAAACAACCUCAGACGCCUACCCUAUGCCCUGGAUAGAUGAGCUCCUAGACAAAAUGGCCAGAGGCCAGUAUCUCACCACAAUAGAUCUGUGCAAGGGGUACUGGCAAAUUCCAUUAGCCGAGGACGCCAUCCAC